GAAGUAGAAAGUGCUAGGCACGUAGGCGUUCAGGAGACAGUCACGGUACUCGUUUCCAGACAGAAGUCAUGAGGAACAAGAGGGAAGGUGCUUUCCCGUGUGCAGCGCUUGGGGAGACUCACACAGACAGAGGAUCUGGCAUGACAGGGAAAGGAGGAAAUGGCUUCUGUUAAUCUCUCCUUCAGCUUCUCCCGCCCUUCCCAUGCACUCUUCCUGUUUCCCUUUCCAGUUCUCACGGUGACUCAAGGAACAACGUGUGAAAUGAAAGACCUCAGGUGCUGUAUUGGCUCUUGACAGCUCUUCAGAAGAAAAUACCUCCUGCCUGUUCUGUUCAGUCCUGGUGCAGCUUCCAGGAAGCCAAAUGACCCACCGGCUUACCCACAUCGCAGGAAGCUUUGGAGCAGAGUCAGUGACUAUGUGAACCUGCCUCAACCUCUGCUCCCUGGUUCAGCAUUUGGCUUGGGAAAAAUGACACUAUUUCCUGUCUCUUAAACAUUAUUUCAAGGCACAGGUCUUCCACCAUUCUGAGAGGCAGGGGGAUCUUUGAGUUCUGCCAGGAGCUGGGGGUUAGGGGUAGGGGAAUCCCGCCCAAGGGAAAUGACUAGAAUCUUUGUCAGGCUGUGGAACACAGGCAUUUCUGGAUAGGUGGCCUCCCCUGUGGCCUCUCCUGGCAUCUACACUGCAAAGUCCCCUGUAUCUACUGAAAGGGGUGAGGGUGGGGGCAUUCAUUGGUACUGGGAGGCAAGCUUUGAGUGGAAAGGAGCUUCUCUCGUGGCCCUCCAGUGAGCCACACUAGAGGAGGCCUCAGAUGCAUGGUGCUCCCUGCUCAGACUCACACUUGCCUGACUCCCUCCUUCGUGCUCUUCCUUCGGCUGCCCUUACCUGGGGGACUACAGUGGCUGUGGGGGUGCAGCGGGGGUUGGGGGGGGCGGCAUACCUCACUACCUGGCUUUUCCCAAGUCCCUUUAAUUAAGCCAAAUCUUUGUAUGAAUGUAAAAUACAAGUAGGCUUUAUCCCUGGGCCCUGUGCUCCUCUGCCCCAGAUUCUGACUCAAGGGCUUGGAGCAGACUUAUUUUUACUAAAAGCCCAAGUGAUUCGAUUGCAGGUGGUCCUGGACAACACUUUGAAAAAUGCUGGGGCAGAAACAAGCCAGCAAGCAUAUGGGAUUCAUCUGCUGUGAGUGAUAAUUUAUCUAGUUUCUAAAAAUAGUGUUAUAGGCUGGACUGUGUCCCCUUCCUGUGCCCCGCCGCCAUGCAUAUAUGGACGCCUAGUACCUCAGAAUGUGACUGUAUUUGGAAACAGGGCCUUUGAAGAAGUAAUUAAGUUAAAAUGAGGUCAUUAGGGUGGGCAGUAAUACAGUAUAACUGGUGUCCUUAUAAGAAGAGAUUAGGACACAGAUGCACACAGAGGGAAGACCAUAUGAACACAGAGGGAGAAGACAGCCACCUGCAAGCCACAGAGAGAGCCCUUCAAAGAAACCAACCCUGCAGACAAUUUGAUCUCAGGUUUCUGGCCUCCAGAAUUGUGAGAAAAUAAAUUUCUGUUGUUUAAGUCA
ensembl:lncRNA LINC00881 long intergenic non-protein coding RNA 881